GGUUCCAUAGAGUAGUGGUUAGCACGUCUGCUUUACACAUAGAAGGUCUUGGGUUCGAGUCCCAGCAGAGCCA
rnacentral:tRNA from 1 species